ensembl:lncRNA
AUUCUGAUUAACAGCAGAAGAAUGUCCAGCAGUGAUGAUGCAGAGGUCACGCACAUGUAAAAGGUUUAACUGGUGAACAUGGCCCAGAAAUUUGAAUUAUAACAGACAUGUGAUCAGAAAAGUUUAAACUGCAAAUUUGAAUAUCACAUAAUUACAGAGCACGAGAUAAGACUGAAUCCAAAGUAUGUCCACGCUCAUGGGAGGGGCCGCUGCCUGGUUGAACAAGAUUAAAGUCAGUAAGGUUCAGGAAGUCUUUUACAAGAGGUUUCAAAGCUGCCAUAAAUAUCAGCAGUGAGCAUUUAAAACUGUUAAAAUGGUGAAUUUGAAGUACUGUGGGUAAGUUUAAUGAUUCCCUAUGAUUCUUUAUGGUGGACAGUCAAUGACAGGUUACAUCCAGGACAUCAAUUAUUCUUAUUUAUAUUGUGAAUUUAUUUAAUUUGAUGAUUUUUGAUUAGAUUAAUUCGUUUAAUUCUACCUUUUAUACUGGCGUCAUGAAUCAGCCUCACAGUGUUUGUAACAUCUGCUUAUAUCUUGCUGAAUUCAGCUGGAGCCUUAAAUCCACAAGAAGCAGUGAGCAGCACAUGUCAGCUGAUCACAGCCUGCAGCUCACAAAACAAAUGAUUAUGUGACUUGUAAUUCUUUUCCACAUGGUGCACCACUACACCUGAUCUUAGGGUUUCUGCACAUGCCAAAUCCUAUUUUAACACAUCCUGGCUACUGUUGAUGGUUUUUAAAUACACAGCAUGAAGAGCUGAGCUCAUACUGGCUGUUAGAACUAAAUUAUAUGUAGCCUGAAAGACAGCACAAUACUUGCCUUUAAAGACUGUUACUUUGAGUGCAUGAUAACUAUUCUAGGAAAUACAGAUGAGAUUAUCAGUACUCUUACCAAAUGAGCAGAACAUUACAUUUAGAAAGCUACACUAGGUAUCAGCGUUUUUCAUCAACAUGAGUUUAUAAUAAUCAUAUCAGAAAUAAUGUUAACAUUUUAAGAUAAGACAAGAUAAGAUGGCCUUUAUUAGUCCCACAGGUGGGAAAUUUGUUUUGUUACAGCAAAAGUGCAAAGUUAUGUAGCAGAAAUUAGAAAACACUGGAAUGCAAUAAAAUAAAAUAAAAUAAAAUAAAAUACUAUGUACAAUAGAAUAAAAUAGAAUAGAAUAAUAUAUACAAUAGAAUAAAAUAGAAAUACAAAUACUAUAUACAACUGAGUAGGAAAAUACAAAAACACAACUUCGUCAGAAGAAGAAUUGCACAUAUAGCAGUCUUAUUGCACAUGUGUGGAUGUGUGUGUUUGAUCAGUUGAAGUCUUUGUUGUGGAGUCUGACAGCAGUGGGGAGGAAAGACCUGCGAAAUCUCUCCGUCCCACACCGUGGGUGCUGCAGCCACUGAAGGAGCUGCUCAGUGCUGUCACAGUCUCAUGCAUGGGGUGGGAGAUGUUGUCCAUCAGGGAUGACAGCUUAGCCGCCAUUCUCCUGUCACUCACCACCUCCACUGGGUCCAGAGGGCCUCCCAGAACAGAGCUGGCCCUUCGGAUCAGCCUGUUCAGUCUCUUCCUGUCCCCAGCAGAGAUGCUGCCUCCCCAGCAGACCACACCAUAAAAAAUGGCUGAGGCCACCACAGAGUCAUAGUGUAUUUUAAUAAAGUAACAAAGUGCUGAAGGUAGGCUGAGCAGCAGUUAUAUAUUUAUUGUUACAUGAAUAGUAUCGUGCUACUCUUUUGUCUCUUUCGCCUCACUCUCUGACCAGUCACAAGUUUCACUUCAGUUUGAAUUAAAGGUUUUGUUCAUUUAAUUGCAUUAACCCAGUGUUAGCCAGCACUGAUGCUUCUAACUGGAGAGAGAUGAGGCAGGUCCGCAUGUGUCCGUUUGGCGAGGUUACUUUGUUAUGUCAGUUGUAACUCCUUCACAGAGUUUACUUGUCAAAGCCAAAUAGCAGCUGAUGUGUUUUCAGUGACAUAAGAGCCCAAAACUGUAUUUCCAUAAACAAGUAACAGAAAAGACAAAACCAUCAGAGCGAUUAAACUAUGUACAGCAGCUUGUCUCAAUAAUCCUGUACCCCUGUGAUUCUCACUCUCGGGAUUCUUUUUAUUUUCAUCAUAGACUUUCAGUGGAGGUCUGUUCAUGUGAAUUGCCAGCACACAAAAAUGGGCAAGUGUAAUUACACACUAAGGCCAAGUCAGCCAUGUAAACAGACUUCUGGCCAUUGUGAUCCAAUCCCCAUCCAUCCCUAAAGUGCUCUCUGUGCAGUAAUUGUCAGCUGGACAGGUGUCGCCGUGAUCCAGCUGUCCUCAUCCUGGCCAAACAACACAAACAGGUAUUUUAUCCUGUAAUUUACAGCAGUCUCUAGUGUCUGUGCUUUCUGAACCCAGCAACAUAUUAUUACAGACAGUCCACCAACGCAGCCCCCACCCAAAUUCAUUCUAAAGCCUCGUCUCUGUCUGAACAUGUCCUUCAUAUUUAUUCACAUUCCACUGAAUUUUCAAUCAAGCGAGUACUUAAAAAGUCUGAGUUUUGGGACUAAUGCUGUUAAAUUAGAGUAAGCAGAUUGCCCUGUUGCCUCCUCCUGAUGCCUUAGGCUUUCACACCUUAAUAACAAAGCUCUGAGCUGCCUUGAAGGCAGAGGGAACUAGAAACAUCCUGUCUCACUGUUUGAUGAUAAAAUUUAUGUCACUGGGAUUCAAUUGCACCCAAGUGGUAUCAAGACCUUAGUUAAUGUUGCAUUGUGAGUGUGGUUUAAUGAUUAUUAUUAAGGAUCUAAUCAGUUAUUCCAUCUAAGAACAGAAAUGCCAAAACAACAGUUGGGUGAGUGGUGGUCUUACGGAGUUACAUGUUUGCAAAAUGAAUUUCCUCAAAUAAAUAACAAAAACUUUGGCAUCUCAGAAUCAUUUGUUGUAUUACGAUAACAAAUAAAGUUCUCCAGUUUGUGUUUAAUUUGCAGGUUUUCCAAACUGUAAUAAUGAUAAUACAAAUGCUUAAUGUGAGCAGUUAUCUGGAAAUAAUUUUAAGCAGCUCUGGUGACAUCAGAUGCUUUUUUGACUGCUGGACAUUUUUCAAACUAUAAUGAUGAUGAUGAUAUGAUAAUACCUCAGGUGAGGAAGCUAAACUGUGAUAUUUAUUCGGUAAAGGCUAUGUUACUUAAAGUUUCCUGUAAAAAAAAAAAGAUUUUUUAAAAUAAAAAUAAUAUUUAUUUCUAAAUUUAAAAAAACAUGAUAAAAGUAUACUGUAUGUGUGCUACAUGGCGAAUAAGCAAAAGUAUCAUAAAGAAGAAAUACAAACUGUGAAUGUGGCUCCAAAGACGAUCAUCAUACAUCCUUAAGUGAAGCACUUUCUUUUUUCCUCUCAUGAAAUCACCUUCAAACUGCACACGCUCUUAUAAAAGGUGGCUUUAAUUUUCUCAUAGAUGUUGGCUAAACCUUCUGGUUUGUGCCAUCUGGCUGUCUCUUAAUACAGAGAACGAUAUUUGUCUCUUUAAAAAAAACACACACACUACACAUAUAUGGAAAGCCUUUGGGCUUAGCUGUUGGUUUAGUUGGCCUCUGACAACACGAGGUCAUAAACAGGCUGCGACAGGCCUGCUAUUUUUACAGCCCUGCUGUGGUGUGUGUUUGUCAGGGUCACUGUGGGUGGUUAAACUGACCACUUAUCAUCUGGAGCUACAGAAGAAGAGGCUCAGGUGGAGCAGCCAAGCAUUUUUUGUUGUUUUAGGAAGCCUGGUCUUCUGGGUUUAGAGCCAAGGUGGUGGUAUAUUAUCAGUCUCUUUUUGUCUACAAGACAUCCAUCAGGUCUAAUUUCAUGCGACCUGGUAGAGACGUGGAAAAGUCAUCAAAUUCUUGUGUGGAUCUCGAUCAAUUUCAUGAAAACUAAUGAUUGUCUUUACUCUUUAAAUCUUGAUAAAACUGUUUCCAGCUGUUGCACAUAUUCUGAAUAAAUUAUGACAAAUAAGCAGUUUUUUCUGGAUUUGUUCAACUGACUAAAGUAUCACAAACAAAAACACGGAAACUGACAUUGCCUUUAUAUUUUACAUAGACCGAACAGAUAACAGAAUAAGUCAAGCAUCUAGCCCUUCAGUCCUUCCUAGCUCAUCGAUCAUUAUUGGCCUAGGACCUGGAACAGCACGCCAUCCCCACUCAUAGCCCUUUCUUAUUUUCUAAAGCAAUGUUGUUUUCAACUAGAGCAUUUCUAAAUGCACAAUCUGUUUUAUUUUUACAGUUAGACUUGAGUACUAAAAAGUUUCACAACAGGAAUUCCACUGCAGUUUAUCUGCAGUCAAACAUAAAUGAAAUAAAUCAGAUGAGCCCUGCUGUGAGGGCAGUAAAUCAAGCUAGUAGCAUAUGUUAUUGUGUAUCUGCCUCCUACACUGAGCUUAUAUUGAAACAGAAGGCACAGCUGGGGUCCCUGUUAUGUUUUCCACUACUUCCUGACCACGGUGCCAUCCAUCCGUGCUACUCAGUCUUCUAGUCUUUAUCAAAGUCAGUGGGGCCCCAUCUUAUCAAAAACCAUUGAGAUAAGACAAGAAUGUGCAGGAGCACUGUAACUCAAGUCAGAACUGCUUCUAUUAGUCUCUCCCAUUCUUGGUGCUGUCUUUGCAUUGAUGAAAUUAGUGGCUGUCCUUUAUCUGAUGAUUAAAUGGUUACAAACUGAAAGCUUGCUAGUAGUUGCACAAGUACCACAAACAAAAACAAAACUGACAUCAGCUUUUAAUUUUAUAGAACAAUAGCUCACACAUCUGCUCCUCAAGAUUCAAAACCCUUUGAAGAACAAGAACAGCUGAGAAACAAAAGGCUUCAGGACUUUAUGAGGGGAAAAAAAGAGCACUUUACCUUUCCUCCAAGGGGCCAUGAUGGAAAAUGACUUCUGCCAGCUGAUGACAAGUGCAGCCUUUUUUUUCACACUCAUCUUUCGUAACAAAUUUUGAAUUUCAGAAAACUUAAAGGUGAGUUUCACAGAGGAAAGACGAAAGAAAAGGUCCUUAGAGAUUCUUCAUGAUGUAUUCUGCCUUGAAGAUCAGCUGUGGGAAAUGUGUCUGUUGUUGGAGGAGCUUGCGUAGAGGCUGCCCUCUAUAGCAGAGUCAUGAUUCCUGUGUCCCUUGGUGCUUGAGUGAGUAAAAGCAGCUCCUCGAGCUGAGGAGGGGCCGGGCUCAGGCAGCAGCAUUCAGUCAGGAGAGCAGGAGGAGGAGUGCUCGGAAGCCAGAGGGGGAAUGGCCACGAGACAUCAACUACAAAGCAAUGUGCAAGGAGUGAAGUGCUUCCAGUAUGUACACAGCUUAGUAACAAAAACAAAUAUGACAAAUGAGAAGUGUUUAUCUGGUAAUGCAGUCGUACUCUCAUUAUUUUCUUUUCUCAGUAGGUAAUGGAUGAAAGUUAAUUACUUCAAUUUUGCAAUGUAAAAAUUGUAACUUGUUUCCUUUAAAGGAGUCCAACAAUAAAACACGUGGGUUUAGACUGUGGAGGCUGUUUCUCCCAAUCACACCCCUCUAGAUCACACGAUCCCCCCCAGGAGGACAAUACAGUCCCCAGAAGAGUCACCCACAAAUACAAGGGAUUCCAGGAUUAUAUAUUAAAUUAUAUAAGCUCUUUAAAAAGUUUAAAUGACCAAUUAAAUCAUCAUUCUAUAUGCAUCCAUUCACUCGAGCGUCCCACCCAGAAACUACAAAACAGUUCUGCUGAUGUUUGUCUGUCCGUCCUAGCUGGAAAACUCAAAAACCAGUUUUAUUUGCUGUUGACCAUCAUCCACCUGUGCCUUACUCAGUGUUUCUUUUUAUCUGAUUUAGUGCUCAGCUCAGAUAAAAUAAUUAUUGUGGUUGAUUUUAACAUCCAUGUAGAUGCUAACAAUGACAGCCUCAACCUUAAUUAUUAGACUCAGUUUGCUUUUUUCAAAAUGUAGUCCAAAACACAUUGAUGCAGAUACUGCCUGUGACACAUUUCUCACAGUCGCAGCACGGCUGCAGACACAGUAUUCAGAGGCAUUUUUCAUUUUCUGUUUUUAAUCACGUCUCAUUGGACUCCACUUUGCUUCCACCAGUUUGUGAACUGUCCGGUAGGAAUAACAGCACAAUUGAUCUCAUGUAUGCUAAUGUGAGGGAUGCAUACAGAGUCACACCUCUACCCCAACUCUGAAAGUCAGACCAUAACUACAGUACACUCCUCUGGUUAAAAGGCAGUCUGCUUCACCACACUGUAUCGGGAAAUGCCCUGAGAGACUGCUUUGAAUCCGCUGACUGGGAUGUGCUGCUGGAUCCACGUGAUAAGGACAAUGAAGGGACCGCCAGCUGUCUGACUGACUACCUGAACAUCUGUGUGGAUGUGGUCUCCCCUGUCAAGACAGCACAAUGUUCUUCUAAUAACAAACCUUGGAUAACACAGGUGGUGAAGGGUGUCCUCAACAGGAAGAAGGGGACCUUCAGAAUAAAGGACAGGACAGUUAUCAAGUCAGCACAGCGGUAGGUGAAGCAGUGCCUGAAGGUGGCCAAGGACACCUACAGGAAAAAACGUGGAGGAGAGGCUACCUGGAUCGGCAGCUAGCCCACAGAAAGACCACACUAUAUCAGGCUGAAGGAUAUCAAGUCUUACGCUCAGCAGCACUGGUGCACCUCAGGGCAUGGUGCUGGCCCCUCUUCUCUUCACCUUAUACACUUCAGACUUCUGCUCAGUGAUGUGUCAUGGUCAGAAAUUUGCAGAUGACACAGGCAUCAUGGGGUGUAUAAGGAAUGGCAGAGAAGAUGAGAAGAGAAAUCUGGUGAGUGACUUUGUCUGGAGCCAGAGGAACCUCCUACAGCUCAACACCUCAAAGAACAAGGAGUUUAUCGUAAACUAUGGAAAGUCCACACCAUGUCAUUGACCAGUUCUUUUUAGUUUUUAUUCUUCCUAUAGUGUGUGUGUGUGUGACUAUGAAAAUCCCUGUGUUUUUCUCACAAAUGUACUUGAUAAUGAGGGUGGGAAGCUGCAGCAAUGCCCCCAGAAGCGUGGGGGCAGACAGAGUUGGAAACAGGACAACCGCACCAUCAGCCAGUCAUCAACCAGUUCUGACAGAGGGAAAUGAGGUUGAGGUUGUGGGAAACUACAAGUAUUUUGGAGCUUAGCUAGACAACACACUGGACUGGUUUUGCAACACGGCUCACAGGAUAACAUCUGCAGGAAACUCCUGUGGAUGUUCUACCAGUCUGUGGUCACCAGUGGGAUCUUUUACGUGGUGGUGUGCUGGGGGAGAAGUACAUCCAGAAAGGACUCCUGCAGGUUGGAGAAGCUGAUCAGACAGGCUGGCUCUGUGGUUGGCAUGAAGUUGGACUCUCUGCUGACAGGCAGAGAAGAGGACCCAUGGACAAACAUCUGAAUAUUAUGGAUAAUGUCAGCCACCCUCUGCACACUGUCAUCAACGCACAGAGAAGCCUGAUCAGUGACAGGCUGCUCCUCCCCAGCAGGACUAAAAGCCCCUUUGGAAGGAGUAGCAGCAGGGGGAGGAGAGGGGUGGAUGAUGUAGACGCAGUGACCUAAACAAACACACUGACAGUUGGUGACUGUAUUACACUUUAAUUCCUGGAUUUAUUGCCUUGUAAAUUCUAUUGCUGCUGACAUUUUAUUCUUAAUCAUUUGUACCUGUUUUUUUUUCUUAUUUGUAUUUAAGGUGUUGUGCUCCUGGAACCAUGAUUUCCCCAUGGGGACCUCCCCAAGGGAUUAUUGCAACAGAUGGUCGCCCCUCUCCGAGCCUGGUUCUGCUGGAGGUUUCUUCCUGUUAAAAGGCUUUAAACAAGUUUAUUCCUUCUCAUUGUUGCCUGUUUCAGUUUAAAUGUUGUUUUCAAUAAAUUGCAUGC